CCUACGUGCGGCAGCAGUAGGGAAUAUUGCUCAAUGGACGAAACUCUGAACCAGCAACGCCGCGUGGAGGAUGAAGGUUUUCGGAUUGUAAACCUCUUUUGUUAGAGAAGAUAAUGACGGUAUCUAACGAAUAAUCACCGGCUAAAUACGUGCCAGCAGCCGACGUAAUACGAAGGGUGCAAGCGUUACUCGGAAUAACUGGGCGUAAAGAGAGCGUAGGCGGGAUAGCAAGUCAGAUGUGAAAUCCUAUGGCUUAACCGUAGAACUGCAUUUGAAACUGUUAUUCUAGAGUAUGGAAGAGGUAGGUGGAAUUCUUGGUGUAGGGGUGAAAUGCGUAGAGAUCAAGAGGAAUACUCAUUGCGAAGGCGGCCUGCUAGAACAUAACUGACGCUGAUGCGCGAAAGCGUGGGGAGCAAACAGGAUUAGAUACCCCUGUAGUC
rnacentral:rRNA from 1 species